UAAUUGUGAAAUCCCAAAGCUUAACUUUGGAACUGCAAUUAAAACUGCUCGACUAGAGUAUGAUAGAGGAAAGCGGAAUACAUAGUGUAGAGGUGAAAUUCGUAGAUAUUAUGUAGAACACCAGUUGCGAAGGCGGCUUUCUGGAUCAACACUGACGCUGAGGCGCGAAAGUAUGGGUAGCAAAGAGGAUUAGAUACCCUCCUAGUCCAUACCAUAAACGAUGAUUGCUAGAUGUUGGAAAUUUAUUUUCAGAUAUCGCAGCUAACGCAUUAAGCAAUCCGCCUGGGGAGUACGACCGCACGGUUAAACACGUCGGAUGAGUUGAGGGGGGACCCCGCAAGCGGUGGAGCAUGUGGUUUAAUUCGAAGAUACGCGCAGAACCGUACCAACCCUCGACAUGUCUGUCGCGAGUUUAGGAAACUAGACUUUUCGGUUCGGCCGGACAGAACACAGGUGCUGCAUGGCUGUCGUCAGCUCGUGUCGUGAGAUGUUGGGUUAAGUCCCGCAACGAGCGCAACCCCUACUUUUAGUUGCCAUCAGGUAAUGCUGGGCACUCUGAAAGAACUGCCAGUGAUAAGUUGGAGGAAGGUGGGGAUGACGUCAAGUCCUCAUGGCCCUUACGGGUUGGGCUACACACGUGAUAUCAAUGGUAGUGACAAUGAGA
rnacentral:rRNA from 1 species